GAGGCGUUGAGGAGAAGGGAGUGGAAAGGAGGACGCUCUUCUGUCUUCUCUUUCGAGCCCGAAAAUACACAUGCGUUAUAAAGCGCAGGAAGUUUGAAAUCCGUGCUUUAAAAAGGCUGAAGAGGCGCUUUUCUUGUCAAGGGCUUUUCAAGCAGACUGGGACUCAAGUACAACCAACAUGACAUAAAAAUGCCAGCCUCCAGGUGGGACCUGGGAAUCCCUCAGAAUUGCAGCUCAUCUCCAGACUACAGAGAUCAGUUCCUCUGGAGAAAAUGGAUGCUUUGGAGGGUGGACUCUGUGGCAUUGUACCCCACUGAAGUUCCUGUCCUCUGCUUGCUCCAUCCCAAAAUUUCCAGAAGCGGUGGCUUUCUAGAAUUGAUGCCUGCAUCCGUGACAGUCUGAAGAACCAGUAAACUGAAACUUAAUCCAGACAAGGUCAAUGUCCCAUUGUGUCUGGCCUAGUGUCCACAUACAAGUUGAUUGACAGAGGAUGAAUGCAGACUCAUGAGGUACUGCCUCAGAAUGGCUCCACUGGCAAGGCCUAUGUGGCUCAGCAGAAUUCAGAUUCAAGACCCUUGAUAGUAAUUUCUAGAAUAAAGAGAAUGUGAAAAGAUUAGAAAUUAUUGGAGGUAAGUUAUUGUUUGUAAUAGUUCUCAGAGUGUGAGUCAGGCCUCCCUAGCUAUGUGCAGAUGCUGGAUGACAAGGCCCAACUUCUUUAUUCUGCUUUCUAGUAAUUGUAUUGAUUAGACCUGUUGGCAGAGGACUAACAUGUCAUUAUAGUACAUUUGACAUACCUCAUCCAUGUGUUUCUUUGCCAGUGAUGCAACAUCUAUGUUGAGUUCAGAUGUAUUUAGAUAAGAACAGAGUAUUCACAGCAGCAGUCAUGAUCUAAUCUAUGUUAACUUUCCAUCUACAGAGGGAAAUAAAUCUAGCCCUAAAAAGUCUGAACAGGAUAGACUCAGAUUGUUUUGUCAAUUCUACUUCAGAGUUGAGCCUCCUUCUGAAGACUUUAAAAAUAUAUGGUGCACUGAAGUUAGUUGAUAAUGUUCUUUCACUGGUUUCUGGAUGUUGUCAUUUUUUGUUGCUCUAGUCCACAAAAGCUGCUGCUACAAUAAAUCCAUUGAUCUAAGG